CGGGAGGCAGCAGCAAGGAAUUUUGUGCAAUGGGCGAAAGCCUGACACAGCGACGCCGCGUGGGGGAUGAAGGCUUUCGGGUUGUAAACCCCUUUUCUCAGGGAGGAAUAAUGACAGUACCUGAGGAAUAAGCCACGGCUAACUACGUGCCAGCAGCCGCGGUAAUACGUAGAUGGCGAGCGUUAUCCGGAUUUAUUGGGCGUAAAGAGGGCGCAGGUGGCUUUUCAAGUCGGAUGUAAAAUCUCCCGGCUCAACCGGGAGGGAUCAUGCGAUACUGUUAAGCUAGAGGGCAACAGGGGGAGGUAGAAUUCCCGGUGUAGUGGUGAAAUGCGUAGAUAUCGGGAGGAAUACCAGUGGCGAAGGCGGCCUCCUGGGUUGUCUCUGACACUUAAGCCCGGAGGCGUGGGGAGCAAACAGGAUUAGAUACCCUGGUAGUCCACGCCGUAAACGAUGGACACUAGGUAUGGGGGGUAUCGACCCCCUCUGUGCCGAMGUAACGCGUUAAGUGUCCCGUCUGGGAACUACGGCCGCAAGGCUAAAACUCAAAUGAAUUGACGG
rnacentral:rRNA from 1 species